rnacentral:rRNA from 1 species
GCGCAGAUAUCAGGAGGAACACCGAUGGCGAAGGCAGAUCUCUGGGCCGUGACUGACGCUGAGGAGCGAAAGGGUGGGGAGCAAACAGGCUUAGAUACCCUGGUAGUCCACCCCGUAAACGUUGGGAACUAGUUGUGGGGGCCUUUCCACGGUCUCCGUGACGCAGCUAACGCAUUAAGUUCCCCGCCUGGGGAGUACGGCCGCAAGGCUAAAACUCAAAGGAAUUGACGGGGACCCGCACAAGCGGCGGAGCAUGCGGAUUAAUUCGAUGCAACGCGAAGAACCUUACCAAGGCUUGACAUACACCGGAAACGUCCAGAGAUGGUCGCCCCUUUUUGGUCGGUGUACAGGUGGUGCAUGGUUGUCGUCAGCUCGUGUCGUGAGAUGUUGGGUUAAGUCCCGCAACGAGCGCAACCCUCGUUCUAUGUUGCCAGCACGUUAUGGUGGGAACUCAUGGGAUACUGCCGGGGUCAACUCGGAGGAAGGUGGGGAUGACGUCAAAUCAUCAUGCCCCUUAUGUCUUGGGCUUCACGCAUGCUACAAUGGCCGGUACAAUGGGCUGCGAUACCGUGAGGUGGAGCGAAUCCCAAAAAGCCGGUCCCAGUUCGGAUCGUAGUCUGCAACUCGACUACGUGAAGUCGGAGUCGCUAGUAAUCGCAGAUCAGCAACGCUGCGGUGAAUACGUUCCCGGGUCUUGUACACAC